CCCCGCUCCUGUCCCGGUGAGCCCGCCCUCCACACCGCCCUGGCGGCGAACGCGGCAGCAAACCGCCCGUACAACUGCCACUGCUGCACGUCCAAGUCCAAGCUGAGGGAGGAUGACCUCCCGUCAGACACAGCAGCUGCGCUGGGGGCAGAAUUCACCUCUGCUCCUUCCAGGCAGAGGGAGCCGUCACCUGCACUGACACACACAGGGGGGUCCUGCACAGGUCAGGCCACGGCUGAGAGAGCCCCCGUUGCCAGGGAGGGUUGAUCCAACAGCCUAAACCGAAAGAAUAAGAUCGUGCAGCACAGAGGCAGCUGAACCAAGAAAUAACAGCUUUGGAGAAUCUUUUUCGAACAAGCUUUCUGCAUUCCCAGAAAUACGGGCCGGCCUUUCCAGCUGUACACUCCCAGCCAGGUGGCAGACAGCACCUGCAGAGAUCCAGGAAGGACAGCUGGCAAAGGCAAACUAAACCACAUCACACCUGUGCCCAUGCCUUCCUGCAUUUUUUUUAAUCUUCAAGUUAUUUUUCCUCCCCAAUAUGUCUCAUUUGAAAAAUAAAGCAUGACCAUUUAUGCCAAA